rnacentral:rRNA from 1 species
GACGGAGGGUGCUAGCGUUGUUCGGAAUGACUGGGCGUAAAGGGCGCGUAGGCGGCCACCGCAAGUCGACUGUGAAAUCUCCGGGCUUAACCCGGAACGGUCAGCCGAUACUGCGGGGCUAGAGUGCAGAAGGGGCAACUGGAAUUCUCGGUGUAGCGGUGAAAUGCGUAGAUAUCGAGAGGAACACCUGCGGCGAAGGCGGGUUGCUGGGCUGACACGUGACGCUGAGGAGCGAAAGCGUGGGGAGCGAACAGG